rnacentral:tRNA from 1 species
GUCCCUGUAGCUCAGUUGGUAGAGCAUACGGCUGUUAACCGUAGGGUCGUUGGUUCGAGUCCAGCCGGGGACG